rnacentral:rRNA from 1 species
AGCGGCGGAUGGGUGAGUAACACGUGGGGAACCUGCCCCUAAGUCUGGGAUACCAUUUGGAAACAGGUGCUAAUACCGGAUAAUAAAGCAGAUCGCAUGAUCAGCUUUUGAAAGGCGGCGUAAGCUGUCGCUAGGGAUGGCCCCGCGGUGCAUUAGCUAGUUGGUAAGGUAACGGCUUACCAAGGCGACGAUGCAUAGCCGAGUUGAGAGACUGAUCGGCCACAUUGGGACUGAGACACGGCCCAAACUCCAACGGGAGGCAGCAGUAGGGAAUCUUCCACAAUGGACGCAAGUCUGAUGGAGCAACGCCGCGUGAGUGAAGAAGGUUUUCGGAUCGUAAAGCUCUGUUGUUGGUGAAGAAGGAUAGAGGUAGUAACUGGCCUUUAUUUGACGGUAAUCAACCAGAAAGUCACGGCUAACUACGUGCCAGCAGCCGCGGUAAUACGUAGGUGGCGAGCGUUGUCCGGAUUUAUUGGGCGUAAAGCGAGCGCAGGCGGAAAAAUAAGUCUAAUGUGAAAGCCCUCGGCUUAACCGAGGAACUGCAUCGGAAACUGUUUUUCUUGAGUGCAGAAGAGGAGAGUGGAACUCCAUGUGUAGCGGUGGAAUGCGUAGAUAUAUGGAAGAACACCAGUGGCGAAGGCGGCUCUCUGGUCUGCAACUGACGCUGAAGCUCGAAAGCAUGGGUAGCGAACAGGAUUAGAUACCCUGGUAGUCCAUGCCGUAAACGAUGAGUGCUAAGUGU